rnacentral:rRNA from 1 species
UACGUAGGGGGCAAGCGUUGUCCGGAUUUAUUGGGCGUAAAGAGCGUGUAGGCGGCCUGACAGGUCUGCUGUGAAAACUCGAGGCUCAACCUCGAGAUGUCGGCGGAAACCGUCUGGCUAGAGUCCGGAAGAGGAGAGUGGAAUUCCUGGUGUAGCGGUGAAAUGCGCAGAUAUCGAGGAAGAACACCUAUGGCGAAGGCAGCUCUCUGGGACGGUACUGACGCUGAGACGCGAAAGCGUGGGGAGCGAACAGG